AUUGAACGCUGGCGGCAGGCUUACCACAUGCAAGUCGAGCGCGCGGCGGACGGGUGAGUAAUGUCUGGGCAACUGCCUGAUGGAGGGGGAUAAAUACUGGAAACGAUAACUAAUAACGCAUACCCUCAGCUGUGCCCCGAUGGGAUUAGCUAGUAGGUGUGGUAGUGGCUCAACUAGUCGACGAUCCCUACAUGGUCUGAGAGGAUGACCAGCCACCAUGGAACGGAGACACUGUCCAGACUCCUACGGGAGGCAUCAGGGGGGAAUAUUGCACAAUGGGCGCAAGCCUGAUGCAGCCAUGCCGCGUGUGUGAAGAAGGCCUUCGGGGUGUAAAGCACUUUCAGCGAGGAGGCGUUACUCGCAGAAGAAGCACCGGCUAACUCCGUGCCAGCAGCCGCGGUAAUAC
rnacentral:rRNA from 1 species